UGGGGAAUUUUGGACAAUGGGCGCAAGCCUGAUCCAGCCAUGCCGCGUGCAGGAUGAAGGCCUUCGGGUUGUAAACCGCUUUUGUCAGGGAAGAAACGAGUUUCUCUAAUACAGAGACUUAAUGACGGUACCUGAAGAAUAAGCACCGGCUAACUACGUGCCAGCAGCCGCGGUAAUACGUAGGGUGCAAGCGUUAAUCGGAAUUACUGGGCGUAAAGCGUGCGCAGGCGGUUAUGCAAGACAGAUGUGAAAUCCCCGGGCUCAACCUGGGAACUGCAUUUGUGACUGCAUAGCUGGAGUGCGGCAGAGGGGGAUGGAAUUCCGCGUGUAGCAGUGAAAUGCGUAGAUAUGCGGAGGAACACCGAUGGCGAAGGCAAUCCCCUGGGCCUGCACUGACGCUCAUGCACGAAAGCGUGGGGAGCAAACA
rnacentral:rRNA from 1 species